AAAGAGUUUUAAAGGAGUAGGUUAUACUCAUAGUUGGUUACCGGUGCUUGGAGUAGUUCUCGCUUCCUAAUUAAUAAAAAUGGCGGCAUCAGAGACUCAGCAAAGUGGAAAUGGAAGCGACCUUGGAGAGAUCCUAAAACCCUUCUACAACAGAGCUUCUGAAGCUGAGGAUCGAUUGUCUAGACUUGAACUUGCUCUUGCAAGUAAGAAGGAUGCUGAAAAUGAGAAACUUCUGAAAACAAUAAGUGAACUUCAGUCAAAGCUAGAAGGUGCAAAUGCACAGCUAGCUUCUGAACAAGAGAAGGCUAAGAAGCUUGCAAUGGAAAAUGCAAAGCUCCAGUAUCGUAUUUCGCAUCUUGUCCAGGCAGUUCGUGAUGGUGACUCCAAGUUGGAGAACUUGACAGGAGCACAGACCAUCACAAAGCUGGAAGACGUACGACUGUGAACUAGCAGCGAUACUGUCAACAGUGCUACUUAAAAGUUUAUAUUUUUUUUCAAUUGACAAUGAAAAUAUCAAGGCUGGCCAAGAAGAGAAGGCCUGUAGAAAGCAUGGCUUUGUGCAAUCUCGAUGCGUUCCCGGGGAUCGUUCAAAGUUUCAUCCCUUAGUGCUUGUAAAAUAGCUUGUGAUGAAUGUUCCCUGCAAGAUCCAAAAAAUCAAACAUAAGCAGAAGGGUUUAGAUUCACCAAUGGUGGGAACAAACUCCAUUGAAUUGACUGAAAGACUUGGAAGACUACGUACAAAAAUGCAUUCAAGAGUUUAAACCCAAAUUAGAACUGAAUCAAUAAAAAUAAAGUGUAUUCCUUGCGGGGUAUUUUGUCGACUAGGAAAUUACCUUGAUAUAAGUAUUUUAUACAGUGUUUUUAAGAUGGGGCAGAGCUCAACAGGUGCGACAGGCUUCUUUCCGUCGGGAUGCAGUACACUCAAGCUUGGCUGACUUAGGAGUUCAUAGAAAGCUUUAACUGCAGAAACACCCUGCAAGAAUAGAGAGGCAUAAGUAAUGGAGGCUCAUAAAUGAAACAGGACCAUAAGUGAUGGCAAAGAAUGUUGCAUUCUCCUAUACGACACUCAAACAUUAGACUAACUAAAUGGAUUCGCCUCGAACAGAUCCGAAGAAAUAAAGUGGCAAGAUCAACAAAAAAAUACCUGAAUCAUUCCUUUCCCACUGAUGCUAUCGCCCAUGUCCCGGUUGAGUUCCCCUUUUGCUAACAUUUGGCCAUACCAUGCGUUUCGACCUUUUAACAAGGUUACAUAAGUGUCUGCCAGCAAAGGCCCUGCGAGCUUCUCAGGUUCUUCGGCCAAUAAAUGAGUAAUAAAUAUCAUCUCUGAUGUACAAUGUGCGAAAUAUACUGACUUGCUCGUAGCACUCUCAUUAGUAAGGGCUGCUACCAUUCCUGUGAAAAUCAAAUGGGAAAUAUUUAAGCAGAUGUACUUAUCAUU